rnacentral:hammerhead_ribozyme from 1 species
AUCCAGAUGAUGAGUUCCAAAUAGGAUGACAUGCGCGUCCUGGAU